UAACUGGAAGAGGGGAGCUUAAGGUUGCCUU
rnacentral:piRNA from 2 species